GACGUCCGCCUUGAUUGUGUCUCGAGCCUCGAAGCUCACCUGUGCACCCUGGAUCUGUGCUAGCAGCUCCGCCACCUCCUCCUCGUGGUUCUUCUUCAGGAACGCUGCUUCUUCCUGCAGCGCGCUCAGCUUCUUGUCCAGCUCUAGCCGUGCGAGCCCAGACUCAUCCACAUACUUGUUCAUUAGGCGUGCCUUGGCUUCCAGCUCCUCCCUGCUGCGUGCCUCGUCCUCGAGCCUGGUCCGCACAUGUUGGAUAUCCUCUUCCAGGUGGUCUUGCUCCAAGAGUGCGCAUGCCUUCUCCCCGGUCAGCUGCUGAACCAGACCCCUCAGGUUCCCCAGCUCGCGCUCAUAGUGCUCUCCCACGGUAGCGCGCCCGGUCUGGCUCUGUCGCAGCGCUGCCGCUUCCUGCUCCAGAUUCGAGUUCAUCAGCUCGAGGUUCCGCACCUUAUCGAUGUAGCCGGCGAAACGGUCAUUGAGUGUCUGCAGAAUCUCCUUCUCGUUCCUCCGAGUCAUGUCGCCGUUAAAGAUCUCCAAGCUGUCGGCGGAGGGUGUCUGGCUGUAGGCCUGGCGGCGGCGUUGGGAGUGGAAGCCGGAGGAGGAGAGGGAAGCGGCAGGCCGGGCAGAGAGGCCCUGCGGUGUCCUGCGGUAGGAUCCGUGGCCGUAGAGGUGGUCCAGUGGGUAGCUCAUCUCUAAACCGAAUGCAGACUGCGGCAGGAUGGAGAGAGGAAGACGUGCUUUCUCUCUCUGAGGAACUGGGGGCAGGAGAGAGGGAUGUACAGAAUAGGGCAGGAGAGGGGGAUGUGGAGAUGAGUGCAGUCAGGCCAGCUGUGGUAGUGCACCCCAGGGAGCUGAAGGGCCUCCUUCACAUCUGCACUGUCAUCGCUCAAGGUCUGACCAUUUAGAGCUCUCCAUGCUGGUUAGUUUAACCUGUCCAGGGUAGAGAGGUUAACCCUUACCUGUCCAGGUACUGAGCUGCUGUCUGAGGGGCGGUGUUCAGAGGCCCUGACUGUUCUUCAGAGAGACCCCUCCCCCUUGGCCCCAAGAGACCUGCUGGCCCAGAUACACACCCUCAUACGCCUCUGCCUCAGUGGCAAGGGUCAUCCCGUCAGUGCUGUGUUAUAGGAAGGCUUUGGAGACAGACAUGGGGUGUGUGUGUGCACUGCACCAGAGCCUCCUGGUUAACAGACAGCACGACGGAAACACACAAGCAGAGAUCCAGGCUCUACACCUGAUA